rnacentral:rRNA from 1 species
GACGAACGCUUUCUGCGUGCUUAACACAUGCAAGUCGAACGGUGAAGCGCCUUCCUUUUUGGUGGGUGUGGAUGAGUGGCGAACGGGUGAGUAACACGUGAGUAACCUGCCCCCUUCUUCUGGAUAACCGCAUGAAAGUGUGGCUAAUACGGGAUAUUCUGGGUCUGUCGCAUGAUGGGUCUGGGAAAGAUAUUGUUUCGGUGGGGGAUGGGCUCGCGGCCUAUCAGCUUGUUGGUGGGGUGAUGGCCUACCCAGGCGGUGACGGGUAGCCGGCCUGAGAGGGUGGACGGUCACACUGGGACUGAGACACGGCCCAGACUCCUACGGGAGGCAGCAGUGGGGAAUAUUGCACAAUGGGCGCAAGCCUGAUGCAGCGACGCCGCGUGAGGGAUGGAGGCCUUCGGGUUGUGAACCUCUUUCGCCAGUGAAGCAGGCCUGCCUCGUUUGUGGGUGGGUUGACGGUAGCUGGAUAAGAAGCGACGGCUAACUACGUG